UAAGUAGUGAAGUAAAUAUACAUUUAGUUUCGACCUAAUUUAAGAGAAUAGCUCUCCUUACUUAU
rnacentral:tRNA from 1 species